rnacentral:tRNA from 1 species
CCGGGGAUACCAAAGUGGUCAACUGGGGCGGUCUGUAAAACCGCUGGCUUUUGCCUACGCUGGUUCGAAUCCAGCUCCCCGGACCA